CAGCAUCUACAGUUGGCUCCGACUGCAGCAGUGUUAGCGCUCCAGUAGCCUCCGUUCCUUUCUCAUUGGAUAUUUUGCUAAAUCACUGCAGAAAGCUGGAGUGUUUUUAAUGGCAGAAGUCACAACCUCAUACAGAGAAGUGCCAAAAAGGGCCGUUCAUGGAGAACCUCAACAGAAGUCGCUGGACCAUGUUGGGCCCCAACAGGUCUCUGGCCCCUACCAGCUAUUAUCAUUCACCCUGAGACAACUAAACGCCCCCACGCUCCUCGUCCAGCAGCGGUGUGUCAGGAGACGGUAAUGAACUUGUUUUCCAGACAGCCAUGCUACCUUGGACCACGGUUUCAAGUGAGAGUAUGCACCCAGUGGGACCUGAAAUCGAACCACCUGCUGCACUCCCCCACUCCCCUCCUGGACUCCCAGCCUUCUCCGUUUACCAAACAUCAGUUUCUAGGAACACUCAGCCUACGCUGCUAUUUGCCAUUUGGCACGGAAGGGGUAGCAGGAAGUUGAGCUGAAAGGCCAUCUGGACCGCAGCUGAUUUUCCGAGUGCGAGUCUCUUUUGGCAGCAGACUGCCUGUCAGACAGAAAAUUGGCAGAUUGAGAUCAGAACCACGCCUCCACCCCACCUCCCUAAUUACCUGUCCGUCCUCACCGCCGGCAUCCCUGGAUCCAUGGAGAUGGGGCCGAUUCUCUGACCAUGAAUCAGACCUUCAGUGCCUCUUCAUCUAAAUGACUUCCUCAGGUCAGAGGUCAAUGUCCCAUCACUCACUAAGCCGUGGCUGAUCAGCCAGGAUGGUUGUUUGCUUUAAGGAAUCUCCGAGUGCUUCGAGAUUUCCUGUUUUCUUCGCUGCACUCGGUGCCUGUUUGGUGGCCUAUGAGCAAUAAAACUUUAACACACGUUA